CCCCCUGCAUUGGGACCUCACAGUCUUAACCACCGGACCACCAGGGAAGUCCCACAAAGACUACCUUUUACAUUCCCACAAAGAGAUCCUGGAGCCAAAGUUCUCAAACCUCUCUCCUGGACAAGGGUCUCUGCUCUAUAUUUGGAUAAUUUUGACCAAACCUUGACGCCCCUCCUCCCCAUUUAAAUUAGAUCCUCCUGUUACAACCUCAGAUCACACUCUUUCCUUUGUUUUCUUAAAAACACUUAACGAUUUAUAGUUAAACAUGGAUUUCUGAAAUUAGUUGUUCAGCUAUUCUCUGCCUUUCUAGAGUCACCCCAGGGGGCAUGGAUCGUGUCUCUUUUGCUCCUCCCUGUGUCCCCAGUGCCUAGCACAGUGCUGGGCACACAUUAGAUAAUCAGUAAACACUUCUCCAUUGAAUAAAUGAGUGAAUGACUAGGGGGGUAGUCUACCCUUAGCAUCCACCUCUAAGGAGACAGAAAAUUACUUGAAACAUUUUUGGUCUUCCAAGUUCUAUCAGGGCUAACACUUAGAUUGCUUAACGCUCAUUCUGACUCUUUCUUUGCUGGAUGAGUCUUUGAUCAGAGGUGUAUCAGAUCAGUGGGAUCUGAUCAUGGCGGUCCCAGUCUCCUUUCUUGAGAAUGAUUUGUAGUGGGCAGGUGACUCAGCUCUCGCCCAGUAAAAGGAACUGCCAAGACGAAGCCAGCACAUGCAGCAGAACAGGGCAGACCAGCUCUCAGAGUAAGGGGACCAGAGUCAGCUACAGCUGGGCUGGCAGGAGCCUGGAGCUGCCUCAGCUCUGCGCUUCUUGUUACCCAAGGUAUCAACUCUUCCUACGGAUUAAGGUGGUGAGCUUUCUAAUUACAUUUUACAUGGCGUCCGACACAAUACACACACAGGUAAUAUACAAAAAACACAAGCUUCACAAAACAAUACCACUCCCACUAUAUGCAAUGUAUUUCUGCUUUUUUUCUUCCGUUCUAUUAUUGCAUUAAAAAAUAUGCUUUUUGAAGGCACCCUAAAAUGAUUUCAUCACCCCAAAUGUGUGUAACCUGCAGUUCAAAACACUUUGGAGUUUUCUGGUGCUUUUAACUGCAGACUCUGGGGCCAGACUACCUGGGUUGGUAUCCCAGCUCUGCCAAUUACUAGCUUUGUUACAUUGGACAAGUUUCUUAACCUCUCUGUGAUUCGAUUUUCUCAUAUUUGAUGGGGAUAAGACUGACCUACCUCAUAGGGUUGCUUUAAGGAUGCAUAAAUGAGUUAAUGCCCCCAAAGCACAUGGUAAGGGAAGGCAUCGGGAGGUCUGAAGAGAAGACUGACAUGAUCUCACAAAGAUGAAUAAGCUACAGUCCCUGUCCUCACGGAGUUUACAUUGUUGUGGGAAAGAUACAACGUAGAGGUGCUGAGAUUAAGAGAAAUACAGAACAGUACAGAAACAUGAAGGAGAAGCAUGCAUUCUAGCUGUGGAAUCAAAUCUAAUCUCCAGGAGGUAGGACUGGGAGAUAAAAUGAGUUGUGAAAAUUCUACUUACUUAAAAAAAAA